AAUAGAUACCCCGGUAGUCCACGCCGUAAACGAUGAGUGCUAAGUGUUAGAGGGUUUCCGCCCUUUAGUGCUGCAGCAAACGCAUUAAGCACUCCGCCUGGGGAGUACGGUCGCAAGACUGAAACUCAAAGGAAUUGACGGGGGCCCGCACAAGCGGUGGAGCAUGUGGUUUAAUUCGAAGCAACGCGAAGAACCUUACCAGGUCUUGACAUCCUUAUGCCAUCUCUAGAGAUAGAGCUUUCCCUUCGGGGACAUAAGUGACAGGUGGUGCAUGGUUGUCGUCAGCUCGUGUCGUGAGAUGUUGGGUUAAGUCCCGCAACGAGCGCAACCCUUGAUCUUAGUUGCCAGCAUUCAGUUGGGGCACUCUAAGGUGACUGCCGGUGACAAACCGGAGGAAGGUGGGGAUGACGUCAAAUCAUCAUGCCCCUUAUGACCUGGGCUACACACGUGCUACAAUGGAUGGUACAAAGGGCAGCGAAACCGUGAGGUUAAGCAAAUCCCAUAAAACCAUUACUCAGUUCGGAUUGCAGG
rnacentral:rRNA from 1 species